rnacentral:tRNA from 1 species
GGCGACGUGGCCAAGUGGUAAGGCAAGGCUCUGCAAAAGCCUUAUACAUGGGUUCGAAUCCCAUCGUCGCCU